rnacentral:rRNA from 1 species
GAUGAACGCUAGCGGCAGGCCUAAUACAUGCAAGUCGGACGGGAUUGGAGAGCUUGCUUUCCAUGAGAGUGGCGCACGGGUGCGUAACACGUAUGUAACCUACCUUUAUCAGGGGGAUAGCCUCUCGAAAGAGAGAUUAACACCGCAUAAAAUCACAGAACGGCAUCGUUUAAUGAUCAAAUAUUUAUAGGAUAAAGAUGGGCAUGCGGGACAUUAGGUAGAUGGUGAGGUAACGGCUCACCAUGGCCAUGAUGUCUAGGGGAUCUGAGAGGAGGGCCACCCAGACUGUUAGUGAGGAACGGACCAGACUCCUACGGGAGGAAGCAGUAAGGAAUAUUGGUAAAUGGACGGAAGUCUGAACCAGCCAUGCCGCGUGCAGGAAGACGGCCCUACGGGUUGUAAACUGCUUUUGUACGGGAAUAAACCCAGAUACGAGUAUCUGGCUGAAUGUACUGUAAGAAUAAGGAUCGGCUAACUCCGUGCCAGCCGCCGCGGUAA